rnacentral:rRNA from 1 species
UGGUGGUGUGAAUUGUCUGGUUAAUUCCGUUAACGAACGAGACCUCAACCAACUAAAUAGUAGAACCAUUCUUACGGAUGGGGACUUAUUACUUCUUAGAGGGACUUUUCGCUUUUAGCGGAAGGAAGUUUGAGGCAACAACA